CGGAGGAAAAGAAACCAACAGGGAUUACCUCAGUAACGGCGAGUGAAGCGGUAACAGCUCAAAUUUGAAAUCUGGCGCUUUCAGCGUCCGAGUUGUAAUUUGUAGAAGAUGCUUUGGGUGUGGCUCCGGUCUAAGUUCCUUGGAACAGGACGUCAUAGAGGGUGAGAAUCCCGUAUGUGACUGGCUGCCUUCGCCCGUGUAAAGCUCUUUCGACGAGUCGAGUUGUUUGGGAAUGCAGCUCUAAAUGGGAGGUAUAUUUCUUCUAAAGCUAAAUAUUGGCCAGAGACCGAUAGCGCACAAGUAGAGUGAUCGAAAGAUGAAAAGCACUUUGGAAAGAGAGUUAAACAGUACGUGAAAUUGUUGAAAGGGAAGCGCUUGCAACCAGACUUGCCUGCGGUCGAUCAUCCUGGGUUCUCCCUGGUGCACUCGAUCGUGGUCAGGCCAGCAUCGGUUUCGGUGGUGGGAUAAAGGCCUUGGGAAUGUAGCAGUCUUCGGGCUGUGUUAUAGCCCUCGGUGCAAUGCCGCCUACCGGGACCGAGGACCGCGCUUCGGCUAGGAUGCUGGCGUAAUGGUUGUAAGCGACCCGUCUU
rnacentral:rRNA from 1 species